ACAUUUUUAUUUAAUAAAGUGUGACGAUUGGGUUUUUAUGCGCAUGCGUGAGAUGUGCCUUCCACAAAUCUUGUUACAACAUCGGCACAUUACUCCUCUGACA